CGCCGGGGACCCUGGGCGCGGGGCGGCCCGCCGCUGCCGCUCGGAACGCUAGGCGUGCUUCUUCGAGGCUGGGGAGAAGCCAGCGCUGUCCCCGAGAAAGGGAGAGUCUCGCCUCACCCGGGGGAGGGAUGCCGGGGAGUGCCCUGUCACUAGCGGACAGGCCACACUGGGCCGGGCUGGUGUGAGUCUCAUCAGGUGCAGAAGCAGCUCUGUCUCGGUGCUGUCCGUUGUUGCUGUCCCCUCCAGUAGGUCUUCUGCAGAACCGAAAUCAGCCAGUAUCUUGCCCUUCUCAUCUUCGGCAGCCCGAGCCGGGCUGUGUUUCUCCAUGGGCAUGGUUUGCAUUAGUGCUCCCAGGAGAAGGCAACCGGCUGAGAUCCCUUUCCUACCGGUCCGCCUGGUUAUACUGUGCUCAAAAGUUACAUUUAACCCGUUUCUCACAGUUGUGGCACCUCUCACCACUGUGAGAAGCUGAAGUCGCUCCUGGGUUUGACAUGCGGAAACAACCAGCGGAUGUGUCUGCCCCCACAGCUUGGGCUGGUGGAGGACAAGCAUGCUUUGAGAGACGAGCCCUGCCUUGGGGGUCUGGAUGCACAGUGCAGAGGGUGGAAGAAAGGAGAGGCACAGAUUUUUUCCUGCAUAGCAAUACCUGUGUGGUGCUUAUAUGAGGGAUAUGGCAAGAAGCUGUUCACCGCAGACAGACACAGGAUGGCCACAAAGGCCUCUGGCUUUGUUUCAUGAAAUAAACCAGGAAGGAGAUGAGUGAUGAAACCCCUAACUGUGGCAGUGUAAAGGUGCUGUUCUGAAGCCUCUCUUUGCAGAACCCACAGCACACUGUACAGGUGAUGGCCUGGGAUUUUUGUCAGCAGAGCUCCAGGCAAUGCUCCUGGUUGCACAAUACAUGACACAUGAAGAUACUGACCUGUUACCAAAGACUACACUGGAAAAGUCCACAAUAAAAUCUUCUGGUAUCCUUAAAAGAGAAGAGCAAUACGAAACAGUUAAGUUUUUUGUAGCCUUAGCUACAAAAAGAACACAAAAAAUAUGUCAACAUUUUCCAUCUUCCACUGCUAAAAACUGCCAUCAACUUUUACGUAAGCACUUCAGUUUUGAUUCAGC